GCUUAUUGUUGAAUAAGCAGACAGCAACAACUGAAACAUCCUCUUGGUGUAAACCUCAGAAAAUGCAGCAACAAGAACCCGAGUUUCUUGACUCCAAUCAAAACCACGGAUAGCCUCAUACACGCCUGCAUAGUCACGUGUCCAUAAUCUCUGCCCAAUUCUCCAAGCAGCAGCCACUUCCGGCUGGCUUUCUUUGAUAGCGGAGGGUAUUGAUUUCCAGAGGAAUCGAGCACUGUUAAUAUCAUUAACAUAAAUGUGGCCAAGAAGAUGAAUCGGAUAAGGCCAUUCGUCCUGAAAAGGAAUCC
rnacentral:misc_RNA from 1 species